UACGAAGGGGGCUAGCGUUGCUCGGAAUUACUGGGCGUAAAGCGCACGUAGGCGGCUCUUUAAGUCGGGGGUGAAAUCCUGGAGCUCAACUCCAGAACUGCCUUCGAUACUGUAGAGCUUGAGUUCGGGAGAGGUGAGUGGAACUGCGAGUGUAGAGGUGAAAUUCGUAGAUAUUCGCAAGAACACCAGUGGCGAAGGCGAGUCUCUGGACGACUCCUGACACUGAGGCACGAAAGCUAGGGGAGCAAACAGG
rnacentral:rRNA from 1 species